CAUUUUGGGUCGGAAGAACUAGAAAACUCAAAAGAUCGCCACUCUUUUAGUGAGGAAACUAGCAAAGGGAGAAUGUUGCACUAUGUUACCCAAAGAGUGGAUCAAAACUGCACUAAAACACAACACAAAAAAGGCCAAUUUUAAUCAGUUGAACGACAAGAGAAUCGAUAAAAAAACUAAAGAAAGUUUGAACGGUAAGCAUAAGAAAAACCACACACCUAGGAUGAAGAGAGAAAAAGGAGAGGACGAAGACAAUGACGUUAUGAGAAAAUACAAUGCAAUGCCGGAAGAGAUAAAAAGAAGAGGUGCGCAAGGAGUAAAAGAAGGGGAGAAGUAGAGAAAAAGGAGAAGAGAUGAAGACGCGAUCAGAAACUGAUUGGUUAGAAGGGUGUGCGGUUUAUUUAAAAUGAAAUUGGGCGUCAGUUGCGCCAGAAGCGACGUCUAUAGACGUCGGUGUUUCAUGGGAUCCGACGUCUAGGAAGCUGAAAAGAUUGGCGUUUUGGUUUCCUGUCAGGGUAGUUGACGUCGGUGCCCCUCACAACCGACGUCUAUAACCCUCGAAUUUGGUGAAAAUACAGGAACCUUGACGUCGGUGCCCCUUAGAACCGACGUCUACAUUGAAGAAUUUGUCUUCCCG
rnacentral:lncRNA from 1 species